CGGAGGGGCUAGCGUUGUUCGGAAUUACUGGGCGUAAAGCGCACGUAGGCGGAUCAGCAAGUCAGGGGUGAAAUCCCGGGGCUCAACCCGGAACUGCCUUUGAUACUGUUGGUCUGGAGGUCGAGAGAGGCGAGUGGAAUUCCGAGUGUAGAGGUGAAAUUCGUAGAUAUUCGGAGGAACACCAGUGGCGAAGGCGGCUCGCUGGCUCGAUACUGACGCUGAGGUGCGGAAAGCGUGGGGAGCAAACAGGAUU
rnacentral:rRNA from 1 species